GGGUGAGGUAGGACCGGCGGAGAGGCCGGCACCGCCCCAGGACCCUGUCCGCAGGAGCAGCACAGCAGGCAGCUGCAGGAGCAGUGGGAGGAGCUGUCGAGUCAGCUCUUCUACUACGGAGGGGAGCCGCAGAGCCAGAAGAGCACGGAGCAGCAACUCGCAGCCCAAUUGGUGACGCUGCAGAAUGAACUGGAGCUGGCGGAGACCAAAUGCGCCUUGCAGGAGGAGAAGCUGCAGCAGGGCGCGCUGCAGACAGCGGAGGCCUGGGCCAUAUUCCAGGAGCAGACCGUAGUCCUGCAGGAGGUGCAGGUGAAGGUGAUGGAGGCGGCGGAGGAGCUGGACGCCUGGCAGAGUGGCCGGGAACUGUAAGGGAGUUGGGCCUGCGGGCGCGGCGGGGCACUGUGGGGCCGGGCCGGGCUCCCACCUGCAUGCCUGUCCCCGCAGGUGUGACGGGCAGCUUCGCGGAGUGCAGUACAGCACCCAGUCGCUCAUGGAGGAGAUGGCCAGGGCGGACCGAGAGAUGCGGCUGUUCGGCGGCCCUGGCGCGCUGGCCAUCAGGUGCUGCUGACGCUGCCGCUCCUCUUCCUGGGGCUGUCGCUACUCUGGACGGUGCUGUUGGACCCCGGCGCCGUCUCCGCGUGGCUCUGGAGCCUCACCUCGGAGACGACGCUGCGCCGCCUGCGCUACACGCUGUCCCCGCUGCUGGAGCUGCGCGCUAACGGGCUGCUGCCAACUUAAGUGCAGCGCCCCGUGCCUGGCUCCAGGUGGACCGCAGGGCACCUGGCUUUAUUUCUGGUGCACUCCUGAGAGUGUAGACCAAGGUCGCCUAAUAAACUCCUC
rnacentral:sRNA from 1 species